UAUUUUUAUUUUUUAAUAUUUUUGGUUUAAUUUAAAAUUAUUUUAAUUCGUGUUGGUAAUUUCCUUAGAUUUAUUCUCUUUUACACGCAUAAUGCUUGUGGUGAGCCGUGCAGUUUUCAAUACCAAUGACUAACGCAUGCGCAUUAGUGUAAAAGCGAUUCUUCACCAUUGAUCUUAGUAUAGGCUGGAUUACGCAUUGAAUCGACAUGUAGAUGUCAACAUUGAACUCCAUCUCAAAUUCGAAAGGGAAAACAAUUUCUUUGAAACACAAAGUUGUUCUGAAUACGGUGAAGUUUUAUUCACUGUAAAUUAAAUACAAACUAAAUGAGUUGAAACGCAGUUCAUCUCGAAAUUAGUUCGAAAUUUGAUGCAAUCAACUGCUUGAACUAUCAUCUUCAGAAUGGAAAAUGGCGACUUAAAUAUUGUUAAGCCCUUAAAAAAAUGGUGUUGACAACUUGCUCAUCGUUUUAGUAUGUUUUUACGGUACUAAAGAACCUUUACGUCCACAACACGUUGACAGAUGUCUUGCUGUGAAACAAGAAAAAAUGAGAGUCCCCCAUUGGCCAUGUCAAGAAACAGUGGCUGCUGCAGAAGUCAAUGAUAAAUCAAUUAGGAACUGGAUAAAUGAACAAUUGUAAUUUAUAUAGUCAAUCAAUUUUAUCUAUUUUAUUUGUUGUACCAAGAACAUGUUGUAUAUAUUUAUGUAUUGAAUGAAAAGAGAAUGCCCAACAUUUUACUUCUCAACCUUUUAAAAAGUUUUUAUGGUUCAAAGACAA